rnacentral:rRNA from 1 species
GACGAACGCUGGCGGCGUGCUUAACACAUGCAAGUCGAACGGAAAGGCCUGCUUUCCCUUGUGGAUUGCGGGUACUCGAGUGGCGAACGGGUGAGUAACACGUGAGUGAUCUGCCCCCAACUUGGGUAUAAGCCUGGGAAACUGGGUCUAAUUCCCGAUAGGACUGCAGGGUGGUGCCUGUGGUGGAAAACGAUUUUCUAGUGGUUGGGGAUGAGCUCGCGGCCUAUCAGCUUGUUGGUGGGGGAAUGGCCUACCAAGGCGGCGACGGGUAGCCGGCCUGAGAGGGUGGACGGCCCCAUUGGGACUGAGAUACGGCCCAGACUCCUACGGGAGGCAGCAGUGGGGAAUAUUACACAAUGGGCGGAAGCCUGAUGCAGCGACGCCGCGUGGGGGAUGACGGCCUUCGGGUUGUAAACUCCUUUCGACCGCGAGGAAGCCACCUGGUUGGAAGGGUGGUGACGGUAGUGGUAGAAGAAGCACCGGCUAACUACGUG